CGAAAGGUGACCCUGGAGAGAAGGGUGAUUCAGGGUCCUCUGCCGCUGGCAUCAAGGGUGAGCCAGGCCAGCCAGGACGUGGUGGACAAAAGGGAGAGCCAGGACUUCCAGGGCUGCCUGGACUUCCCGGGAUUAAGGGUGAACCUGGUUUUUUUGGCCCUCAAGGUGAGCCUGGGCUACCAGGCCUGCCAGGAACAAAGG